AAUAAAGCUUGUUAGGUGAGGUUACUGGUUGAACAGAGGCUGCUGCCCGGAAAUGUCGAAAGACACCAAUGGGUAGAGCAGGCGUAGUCGGAUUAAGGCUUCGCAUAAGGCAGCUUUCCGGAAUCCGGAAUAAGUCAACCUGAACUAAAACUCUACGAGGAGCUUCAUG
rnacentral:sRNA from 12 species